GCCGCCGUUCCUUUCCUCUCUCUUCUGGUCACCGUCUCAGCGAACCACCCAAAAACAGUGAGGCGAUUCGCAGCAACAAAUAACCACCGAGGCUACCAACACCUCCAGGUUGCCGAUAUCCCUCUAUUCUGCGUCGAUUCAGAAGAGAGCGGCCACUUCUUUGGUUUCUUCUACGGUGAAGGUGCCGGCGAAGUUCAGCUGGAGGCAUAGGAAUCUUCGAUCCGCCGGUGGAUCCGGCCCACCAUCCGAGGAACGCCUCUCCUUCCCUUCCUCUGGGCGUCGUCGUUAUCAUGGUGUGCAAAUUGAAACCGCUGUCGUCCCGUCCGUAAUCAUGGUGAUAAAAAGUUCGACCUUCUCGCUCCUCUAAUUAUGGUGAUUAAUCUCACCGUUGCUGCCAGUUCUCUAAUAUCAAACUUUUUUUUUUCGAAAACAUUCUUCUCUUCUUGAUAAAUAUAUGCAGCGAGCAACCCUGUUUCUCUACCCCUUCGGUCUCGCCUUCCACUUCAAGGGAUUGUUGUUGUUUGGGGUUUUUAUUCAGGGACUGAUCACGGCAACUCUGUAACCUUCAUUUGCGACCAUGGCCGCUGGACAGCUAAGGGACAAAGUAGAAGGGGGACGGCAAGUGUAGGUGAGUCAUGCAAGGAUGGUGACGAGUUCUGUAUGGAACAAAGUUGAAUCCAUGGUCAUGACAAGGAGAAUUGGGGCUUGCACCAAGAUAUGAGGUCUGCUAGCUUUGCCCUUUAAUCUCUUCAUAUUAAGAACAUCAUGGUUACUACACACUCCCGUUAACUGUAGUACUUCACACCAAAGUAUAAAGCUGAUAACUGAGUUUCAGCUCAGUGGCAAGGUAAGGCGAGUGCGCAGCCAGCCCAUCCGGGUUCGAAUUCCAUCUGUAGCGAGAAAUCGCUGGAGGCCGAACUAAACGGGUUAUCAUCCGUAGCGAGAAAUCGCUGGAGAGUCUCAUCCUAUCUAACAACGUAUAGCCAAAGGAGGGAUCAUUCCCCCGUUGGUCAACGUUUUUUUAAGUAUAAAGCUAAUGCUCAAAGACUCCAGAUUUGCCUUUUUUAUACAUAUAUGUUUCAUCACGAGUCAUCAGACUAGCUCAAAAGAGCAUAUGGACAUAUAUAUACUACUGUUGGUACUUGUACCGUGAAGCAGACACAAGAAAUGCAGGAUCUAAUUAAUUCUCACAUGAAGAAAUUUUGCUUGUAUUCUCAAUAUGAUAUGCCCAAGUGUACUUAGGUCAAUAAACACAUCAU